AGCUGCAACUCGACUGCAUGAAGCUGGAAUCGCUAGUAAUCGCGAAUCAGAAUGUCGCGGUGAAUACGUUCCCGGGCCUUGUACACACCGCCCGUCACACCAUGGGAGUUGGAAGCACCCGAAGUCGGUGACCUGACCGAAAGGGAGGAGCCGCCGAAGGUGAAGCCAGCGACUGGGGUGAAGUCGUAACAAGGUAAC
rnacentral:rRNA from 1 species